CAAAUUUGAAUCCUCUUGAGGCCUAUAAAUACCCCUCUAUUCUCAGCUGAGACAACAACCUUUUGAGAAGCUAGAAGUUGAGAAAAGCUUUAGGAAAAGUCUUGUUUUCAAUAGCUUGAGUGUUCACCUCCUUUCUAUUCAUUGAAAUCUUUGUAAAAGGGUGAACCACUUGUAAGAGGUUGUAAGAGGGGUGUAAGAAGGAGGUUGAUCUUCGCCUAGUAAAGGAAGAUCGUUAGUGGAUGCCGG
rnacentral:lncRNA from 1 species